GGUUGAGGCUCAGUGGUAGAGCACUUGCCUAGCAUGCAUGAGAUACUGGGUUCAAUCUCCGGCACCA
rnacentral:tRNA from 1 species